rnacentral:rRNA from 1 species
UACGGAGGGUGCAAGCGUUAUCCGGAUUCACUGGGUUUAAAGGGUGCGUAGGUGGGCAGGUAAGUCAGUGGUGAAAUCUCCGGGCUUAACUCGGAAACUGCCAUUGAUACUAUCUGUCUUGAAUACCGUGGAGGUCAGCGGAAUAUGUCAUGUAGCGGUGAAAUGCUUAGAUAUGACAUAGAACACCAAUUGCGAAGGCAGCUGGCUACACAAAUAUUGACACUGAGGCACGAAAGCGUGGGGAGCAAACAGG